CAGUGAUAAACUGGAGGAAGGUGGGGAUGACGUCAAGUCAUCAUGGCCCUUACGACCAGGGCUACACACGUGCUACAAUGGCGCAUACAAAGAGAAGCGACCUCGCGAGAGCAAGCGGACCUCAUAAAGUGCGUCGUAGUCCGGAUUGGAGUCUGCAACUCGACUCCAUGAAGUCGGAAUCGCUAGUAAUCGUGGAUCAGAAUGCCACGGUGAAUACGUUCCCGGGCCUUGUACACACCGCCCGUCACACCAUGGGAGUGGGUUGCAAAAGAAGUAGGUAGCUUAACCUUCGGGAGGGCGCUUACCACUUUGUGAUUCAUGACUGGGGUGAAGUCGUAACAAGGU
rnacentral:rRNA from 1 species